UAUAAACAUUCGGGUACAGGUGUCUUUGUUAUAGAAUGGAAAGUAACCAUUUUAAAGCAAACAGUUCAGUAGCAGUUGGUGCAUGAAAGAUGUUGGGAAGUGAAACCCUGGGCCCAUUAGGCAGUUUCUCUCGGUUUCCUCCUCCCCCAGCCUCUGGCAAACACCGAUCUGCUUUCUAUUCCUGUGGGGUUUCCUAUUCUGAGUAUUUCAUAUAAAUGGGAUCAUGCAAUGUCUGUAGUCUUUUGUGUGCAGCUUCUUUCACUUGGUGUCACGUUGCUGAGGUUCAUCCAUAUAUAAGUCUUGUGGAAGGGAUGUUCUCUCUCCUAUUUAAUGCCGAAUGGCAGCUUUAAGAAACCCUGACACUAGCAUGUCCCUGGAAAGAUCAGCAGAAGCUGCAGAGGCUGGGCCUGUUCACAGGACCACCGCUGUCUUCUGACUGCUGCAUCCCGGCUCUGGCCCCGAAUGAUGAUUCCUGAGGCCUUAACAUCAUCGCUUGCUCCUGGCCAAUGCUUCGUUCUUUCCCACCUUGUUUCUCACAUCCCACCGUGGGUGCUCAAUGCUGACACCUUGCCCUGCUGAGGUUGCCUCACCUCUGUAUAUCUGGAUUCAACAGAGCUUGAGAGAAAAUGAAUCUCACAGAAAUUGAGGAGAAGACAAGGGUGGGCUUCUAAUCCUCCAGUGCUUUUGAUUUUGUUCAAUUGCCAUGAGGUCUCAUGGGACAGAGGUGGGAGCAGAUGGUUUCUUACACCUGGACAGGAAGAAGAUGCUGAAUCAGGAUAAUUCAUGGAAGAAGGGAUUAGUCAUAAAAAGUUUUUAGGCUGAUCCUACAUAAUCCGAGAGAGAGAGCAGUUACGGUGCCAGCAGCCCUGCGGAGCCACUAGGUGGCAUUCCAAUGCUAUCAUGAAAGAUUCUGACAUUGACGUUAAACUAUUUGGAAAAACAUUUUGUCUUCAUUUUAGGACUCUAGAGUCAGACUAAGUUCAACUGCUACCUCCAAUAGUCACUUGCCAAUGACCUUGGAUGAAAAGAACACAGUGCCCAGAUCAAAGCCUGCAUCCCGUGUACCUGAGCAUGCGCCUUAGUGAAGACACAACAUCUGGCAAGGAAGCUUCAGUGCCAGCUGUGGGCUGCUACUUGCUUAAGUUUUCAGGAGUCUGACAUCCUCUGGGACCUGUCUGGUUUCUGCAGGGACUAAAUUAAUUAAAUGAUGAUAUGGUGUGCGAUCCUGAAGGCACAAGCCACACUCAGCCAUCUCUGACUCCUGGACACCAGUUCUCGGGUGUGAAUCGGAGCUUCCACCUGACGCUGGGCUGUCAUCGAGCCAGAGUGACAAUGAGACAAUCUGGCUGUCAUCGCACGUUGGGAGCCGGUGAAGGUGAUUCAGGGGGAACUGCAGACAUAGACACAACUGGCUCACACAAGUUUGAACUGCACACCCCGGCCGACCACAACAAAAGCUCCGAGAGGAAAGGUGAGAAAGGUUCUUUACUUUUAAGGACUCAUUUGACUGCAUUGAGCCCACCUGGAUAGUCCAAGCUCCACUCCUCUUCUCAAGAUUCUUAGCCACACCUGCAUCCUCACGCCUCUUUGUCACGAGAGGGUCUGCGUGUUACUCAGCUUGAUGGAAUCCUGUCUUAUACCAUUCAUAAGAGCAAUGAGAAACUGUGAUGUGUCCUUCCUAGUGCAUCGUAUGUUGGCUACGUCACAAUGGCACCAAGUGAUUGUGCUGGGGAAGAGAUAUUGGAUUUGUGUCUAUCUGAAGCAAAGUAACAUCCAGAAGAGAAAUACCUGGCUAGGGAUUGUUAAAAAAAAUCCCAAUUCUGCCUUUUCUCACAGGAAUGUCGUUGGAUUCUACACAACAUAACUGUAAAGGGAUCCAAAGAACAAAUUCGUCUGAGGUUGUAGUAUCAGAACUUCAGUCACCUCCCUCCACCCCAAGCUUUAUAAAAAAAAAACUUAUGAACACUCUGAUCCCUGUAACUUAUUCCCUCUUUACUUUGGCUACUAGGAAGCUUACAGCAAACUUACAGACCACUGCUAGCAACUGUACCGAGCUGUGGCUUGCAUUUCUCUAACUCCUGGAUUUACCAUUUUGCUGCCCACUUCCCUCUUUGCUGUGAUAUGCUCAGUUUUUUAUAUUUUAUUCUUUUAAAAAAUUUUAA